GGCUAAUUACACAAAGUAAGAACCUUGCAAAAUCUGGGGAGGUAUAUAGGUUCCUUCCAGCACAAUUCCUUGCUUUCUGUCACAAUACAUACAUACACUGGCAUACAUACACACUGGCAUACACACAUACAUACACACAUUUGCAUACACACACUGGCAUACAUACACACAUACACUGGCAUACACACAUACAUACACACUAGCAUACACACA